AUACGUAGGGGGCGAGCGUUGUCCGGAAUGAUUGGGCGUAAAGGGCGCGUAGGCGGCCCGGUAAGUCUGGAGUGAAAGUCCUGUUUUUAAGAUGGGAAUUGCUUUGGAUACUGUCGGGCUUGAGUGCAGGAGAGGUAAGUGGAAUUCCCAGUGUAGCGGUGAAAUGUGUAGAGAUUGGGAGGAACACCAGUGGCGAAGGCGACUUACUGGACUGUAACUGACGCUGAGGCGCGAAAGUGUGGGGAGCAAACAGGAUUAGAUACCCUGGUAGUCCACACUGUAAACGAUGAAUGCUAGGUGUAGGGGGUAUCGACCCCUUCUGUGCCGCAGUCAACACAAUAAGCAUUCCGCCUGGGGAGUACGGCCGCAAGGUUGAAACUCAAAUGAAUUGACGGGG
rnacentral:rRNA from 1 species